CCUGAACGCUGGCGGCGUGGCUAAGACAUGCAAGUCGCACGGAUGUAGCAAUACAUCAGUGGCGAACGGGUGAGUAAUGAAUCGCUAAUGUACCCCGGACUCUGGGAUAGCUAGCCGAAAGGUUAGGUAAUACCAGAUGAUAUACCUUUAUCGCAUGAUAGAGGUCUCAAAGGUCCGCCGGUCUGGGAGCAGGCGAUUUCGUAUCAGCUAGNGGUGAGGUAACGGCUCACCAAGGCGACGACGCGUAGCCGGACUGAGAGGUUGGCCGGCCACAUUGGGACUGAGACACUGCCCAGACUCCUACGGGGGGCUGCAGUAACGAAUCCUCCGCAAUGCACGAAAGUGUGACGGAGCGACGCCGCGUGUGGGACGAAGCCCUUCGGGGUGUAAACCACUGUCAGGGGAUAGAAAGUUCUGAUCAUCCCCAGAGGAAGGCACGGCUAACUCUGUGCCAGCAGCCGCUGUAAU
rnacentral:rRNA from 1 species